rnacentral:rRNA from 1 species
GACGAACGCUGGCGGCGUGCUUAACACAUGCAAGUCGAACGGAAAGGCCCUGCUCUGGGGGUGUGCGCGAGGGGCGAGCGGGUGUGUAACACGUGUGUAACCUGCCCUUGACUUUGGGAUAACUUCAGGAAACUGGGGCUAUUACCGGAUAGGAGCUCCUGCUGCAUGGUGGGGGUUGGAGAGUUUCGGCGGUUGGGGUUGGACGCGCGGCUUAUAGGCUUGUUGGGGGGGUAGUGGCUUACCAAGGCUUUGACGGGUGGCCGGCUUGAGAGGGUGACGGGCCCCAUUGGGACUGUGUUACGGCCCGGCCUCCUACGGGAGGCAGCGGGGGGAAUUUUUGCCCAUGGGGGGGAGCCCGAUUCAGGCACCGCCGGGGGCGGGAUGCCGGCUUUCGGGUUGUAACCCGCUUUGGCCUGGGCCGAGGCGUGUGUGACGGUAAUGGGUAAAGAAGCACCGGCUAACUACGUG